UACGAAGGGGGCUAGCGUUGUUCGGAAUUACUGGGCGUAAAGCGUGCGCAGGCGGCUUCUCAAGUCAGGGGUGAAAGCCCAGAGCUUAACUCUGGAAUUGCCUUUGAGACUGAGAGGCUUGAGUACGGGAGAGGUGAGUGGAAUUCCCAGUGUAGAGGUGAAAUUCGUAGAUAUUGGGAGGAACACCAGUGGCGAAGGCGGCUACCUGGACCGGAACUGACGCUGAUGCGCGAAAGCGUGGGUAGCAAACAGG
rnacentral:rRNA from 1 species